AAAGACCAAGGGAAAACCCUAGACUGCCGCCCUAUAUUCCACCACCACCCGUCGGCGGUGUCGCCUCCUUUCAUCGCCAAAUUACAGAUGACCACCAGGACUUCCCCAUCCCAAAUAUCCAACCCAUUACCCUCGAAUCCUUUCCAAAUUCCUCGAAUCUGUAAUCCAAGUUCGGCCCCUGCAAGGCUCGAAGCCUUUUUUGUCAAGUCUAGCAUCUCACACGUGCAUGGAGUGUCAAUCUCUCAAGUUUUGAAGUCUGGAAUCAACAUAAACUGGUUUUAAUCUUUGACCCAUCCGGUUCCAUUGGCUCAAGUUAAUAAGUCUCUUUUCCCUUUUGUGUUUCCUUGUCAACGCCUCCUUCUCAUCUUCCUUUCUCGCUCUCUUUGACCUAGUGCUUAUAAUAAUCUGGUAGAAAAGUUGAUUCACCCUCUGGGUGCAAAUUUGUCCCUCCGGCUCACCAUGUUUUCUCUAUUUUUCCUUUUCUCUUGUUCUCUUUGACAAAAUCUAUUUCUGUUUUUAUUGUUAGUUUAGCAUGAUUAAGUUUUUGCCCCGUGAUUUUCGUCUAGUUAAUUUAGAUAAAUUUAAUUUAGUUUUGUUCAAUGGACUAACCUAAUUGAUUCAUGCACCUCAUCAUAUUUUGAUUGCAUUUUAAGGAUUCCAGUUCUUUUUCUUUGGGAAUUUUGGGUUAGACCUUAAAUUGAGAAUCCCGGUUUAGUUUGAUUGAUUUCUUAAAAUCAAAAGCCCUAGUGGACUCUAGUUUGGGUUUAUAGACCCAUACCUAUUGGGUUGGGCCAAUUCAACCCAUGUUUGAGUUUUGGUUGCAUGGGUAAUUUCAAGGUCAUUAGGGGGUAAUUUGGAAAAUUGGGGUAAGGGAAUCUCUUAGUAACUAAUUGGGAAGCUUCCUUGAAGCUGGGGUGAGGUGUUGUUGAGUUAAAUUGUUGAUUUUAUCAAGGGUAGUUCUGCAGAAAGAAAACCAGCUAAGGAUAAGGUAGCAAAAACAAAAAUUUGAAAAGGACUAAGGGUUAAAAAAUAAUAACAUCGGCCUGCCCUACUUGCCUUGCCUGUAAAGGCAUAUUUUCUUGCCUUUAAAGGCAUGAAUUAGAGAUAAGAAUUUCAAAAAAAGAUAAAGAUAUAAAUUUCUUGUUCUGGUUACUGUUCGAUUGAACUUUCCCUAGGUUCUUUCACUUUCUAAUUCAUGAUGUCAUUUUUGGGCUGUUUUAGUUGAAACAAUUCGAGUUUAGAGGUCUUAAGAGCUUGUUUAGAGUUUGAGAAAUGUUUUGUAAAUCUUGAUUCUGGUUUAUAUUUUGUUUUUCUUGUUUGUCAUUGUUGUUGACUCUUAUUCUUGCUACUGAUUGGUUGUGGACCUCACUCUUCUUACUCAUUUCUUUCUAUUCCAGGUAUGUUUCAGUCCGCUAUGGGUGACACUUGAAGUGUAAACUGAAGUAUAAGUUGAGGAUGGAAUAAAUUAUGAAGUUAUUUGUGAACUUAACCUCUUGUUCUUUCGAUUUCAUGAUCACUAUGUAACUUUGGAACUUUGACUAGUUCUUAUCGAAGAAUGGUUGUAAUUGAAAAUUAGAUAGUAUUAGUUAGCAUAGUGGCUUCCUUUUGAUCUUGUUGUUGAGUCCAGUAACCAGCACUUGUUAUUGUUUCAUAGUUUGGCUUGUAUUCCUGAGGUGAUUUAUGUUAUUAGCUUGUUAGCAUAUGAUUCAAUAUGGUCGUAACUGUCAUGCCUAUGGUUUUGGACUGUGAUGAAACAGAUUUGUUUUAACCAGAAGUAGAAGAUUUACAUGUUAUUUCUCAGUCUAGGAUCAUUUGGAAUAAUAGUUUGAAGCAAAAAAUAUGAAUUGUAAAGAAGCGUUUGUUGAUCUGUGGUGGAUUGUUUUCGAUCGACGAAUGGAGUAAGCAUGCAAUCGUUUCUGGAAGUGGUUAACCAAAUGUCUAGCUUAUUCAAUUGUAAUCCAAGUAAUAUAGAAUCUUUUUCAUUUUUUGAUUACAUUCAUGUCCCAGUUUUAUUUCCUUCAUUAGCUAAUGUUCCUUCUUCAUUUUCUCAGCUGAGACAGUAGUGUUAUCCUAUUGACUACAUUUUUAAUCUUGUUGCCUUUUUUGUUAUAUAGGUUUGAUCCGCGACCCACUUUACGUUUGACUCAAUCAUGCCUCAUCUGGAUUGGGGCCCAUUCCGAGCCCCAAGUUUAGCAAAGAUUUAUUUUUGGUUUGAUUGUCCUAUGGCAUGCGUUUAUCAUUGGGGUGCUUUUAGCCAUUAUGGAGAUUCGACGCGUGGGCCUCUAAAUGAUCUACC
rnacentral:lncRNA from 1 species